rnacentral:lncRNA from 1 species
GCAGCCUAUCAGUUUCCAUUUUGUUAAAUAAGCUGAGAAACAUGGUUGAUGACUUGUGCACUUGAAAGUUAAUUAUUGGACCUCAUUGAAUACAUAUUCAUUUGACCUUCAAUUCAACCCCUAGCUGGAGAUGGGUUACCGAUGUAUUCAGCUAUCAAAAUUGUAAGGGUUUCACAGAACCCAGUGUCUCGCCUUCUUUUGUUGUGAGUCGCAAGCUCAACAAAAACAGGAAAAAGAAUAUUAAAAUUUUCCUCUAGAUACUAUCUUUUGGCUAGUUCUGUAAGAAGCUUCUGUCCAAAUUUGGUAAAAAUUCAGGAUGGUUUAUGAAAUCCAAUAAAUGUUUUAAAAACUUUAACUGCAGAGUGUAUGUUAUGUUAACUGAAAAAAACUA